AGAGAGAGACAUGCGCGCAUAUCAAUAAGCGGAGGAAAAGAAACUAACAAGGAUUCCCUUAGUAACGGCGAGUGAAGCGGGAAGAGCUCAAAUUUGAAAUCUUCAAGGUUUUACCUUGACGAAUUGUAGUUUAAAGAAGUGUUUUCUGCUGAAGUUUUGGUAAAAGUUCUUUGGAAUAGGACAUCAUAGAGGGUGAGAAUCCCGUAUUUGACCAUUAUUUUCAGCUUUGUGAUACACUUUCAAAGAGUCGGAUUGUUUGGGAAUGCAGUCCAAAAUGGGUGGUAAAUUUCAUCUAAAGCUAAAUAUUGGCGAGAGACCGAUAGCGAACAAGUACCGUGAGGGAAAGAUGAAAAGAACUUUGAAAAGAGAGUUAAACAGUACGUGAAAUUGUCAAAAGGGAAGCGUUUGACACCAGUGUUGUUUUCUCGAAAAUCAAUUAAAAAUGGCUCGAUUUUGUAUUGCUUGAGACCUUAAAAGCUCACUGUACAUCUUUCGUGUCUUUUUUAAUGCACUUUUCGUUUAACAAGUCAACAUCAGUUUCUUUUGUUGUAAAAGGGUCAUUGGAAGGUGGCUUUCUUUUCGGAGAAAGUGUUUAUAGCCUUUGGCCUCUGCAAUCGGAGAGACUGAGGUCUGCAGCGUAGACUCUUCGGGGUUAGAUACAUUUGUGCUAAGUUAUAGCUUUUUAUAGACAACUUGUUGACUAUAAUUAGUCUUGUAGCUUACUCGCUUAUGCUAUUUUACCUACGCUUAGGAUGUUGAAGAUGUAGCACAUCAU
rnacentral:rRNA from 1 species